rnacentral:rRNA from 1 species
UACCAGCACCCCGAGUUGUCGGGACGAUUAUUGGGCCUAAAGCAUCCGUAGCCUGUUCUGCAAGUCCUCCGUUAAAUCCACCCGCUUAACGGAUGGGCUGCGGGGGAUACUGCAGAGCUAGGAGGCGGGAGAGGCAAGCGGUACUUAGUGGGUAGGGGUAAAAUCCGUUGAUCCAUUGAAGACCACCAGUGGCGAAGGCGGCUUGCCAGAAUGCGCUCGACGGUGAGGGAUGAAAGCUGGGGAGCAAACCGG